rnacentral:rRNA from 1 species
AUUAAGCCAUGCGAGUCGAGAGGGUUCGGCCCUCGGCGUACUACUCAGUAACACGUGGAUAACCUGCCCUAAGGAAGGGGAUAACCUCGGGAAACUGAGGAUAAUACCCUAUAGGUUACAGAUGCUGGAAUGCCCUGUAACCGAAAGCUCCGGCGCCUUAGGAUGGAUCUGCGGCCGAUUAGGUUGUUGUUGGGGUAACGGCCCAACAAGCCGAUAAUCGGUACGGGUUGUGGGAGCAAGAGCCCGGAGUUGGAUUCUGAGACACGAAUCCAGGCCCUACGGGGCGCAGCAGGCGCGAAAACUUUACAAUGCGGGAAACCGUGAUAAGGGAACCCCGAGUGCCUGUAUAUGCAGGCUGUCCAGGUGUCUAAAAAACACCUGAAGAAAGGGCCGGGCAAGACCGGUGCCAGCCGCCGCGGUAAUACCGGCGGCUCGAGUGGUGGCCACUUUUAUUGGGCUUAAAGCGUUCGUAGCUGGGUUGUUAAGUCUCUUGGGAAAUCUGACGGCUUAACCGUCAGGCGUCUAAGAGAUACUGGCAAUCUUGGAACCGGGAGAGGUGAGGGGUACUUCGGGGGUAGGAGUGAAAUCCUGUAAUCCUCGAGGGACCACCUGUGGCGAAGGCGCCUCACCAGAACGGCUUCGACAGUGAGGGACGAAAGCUGGGGGAGCAAACCGGAUUAGAUACCCGGGUAGUCCCAGCCGUAAACGAUGCGCGUUAGGUGUAUCGGUGACCACGAGUCACCGAGGUGCCGAAGGGAAACUGUGAAACGUGCCGCCUGGGA